UACAGGGGGUGCAAACGUUGCUCGGAAUCAUUGGGCGUAAAGCGCACGUAGGCGGUCUGUUAUGUCGGAUGUGAAAGCCCUCGGCUCAACUGAGGAAGUGCAUCCGAAACUGGCAGGCUAGAGUACUAAAGAGGGUCGCGGAAUUCCCGGUGUAGAGGUGAAAUUCGUAGAUAUCGGGAGGAACACCAGUGGCGAAGGCGGCUUCCUGGCCUGUUCUUGACGCUGAGGCGCGAGAGCUAGGGGAGCAAACGGG
rnacentral:rRNA from 1 species